UCUGAGUAAUCAUUGAUUUUUUGAUAAACACUUUUCAACAAUUUCGAGUUAAGUUCGACUAAGUAGACUAGUACGUAAAUCAACUGUCAUUGCGAAAAUGUCAAAUGAUUGUGCAAACAAAAAAAAACUGUAUGUAUUACCCUACAUAAGCUGUUGAUUUUGUAUUUACAUAUAUUUAGAAAAUAAUUUUUACAUACAUACAAAUAAGUCACAUAUAUUCUGAAUGAAUAGCUCAAAUACAUACAUAUACGUAUAUACAUUUGUAAGUUCUUGUACCAUGUGUGUAACAGAAAAGGUCGCAGCAUUUCACCGUAGCGUGCAAUGUCAAAAGAGAGCGCGGAUAUUAGAGAGAUCCAUUUGUUGAUCGAGAAAAGAGAAAAAUGAAGCAGGCGGCUGCAAUGGCUCAGAUAUAUUCGCGUAUCUGAUGGUUACAGUUGUUCACAGUAGACGGCGUCUGCAUGUCGACGUGCGAUUGGGAAUUGAUAAUAUUGUGAUUGUAUCAAUAUUUACAUUACACACACGUAUAGGUAUACAAAGAACACAUAAUUUCAAAGCCAUUGACCUAAAUCGCAGUGUUAAAAUUCAAAACAAACCAGAAAAGGUGAAAACAAAUUGCAGUUUUGUACUUUGGAACAUUUAAAUGAGGUUCUGAUAAACAACUAUUAGAGGGCAAUAACACGACUGUACACCACACGUAGACGAUUCUAUGCCGAAGUAAAUAUUAAUUAUGAACAAUGAGACAACGCAACGACGGAACGUUUACAGAUAAAUCAGCAAGUUAGCGAGUGCACGCGGCAUUGUGUUGAGAACGAUAACAAUCAAGUUAGAAUUU